rnacentral:rRNA from 1 species
AUUCCGGUUGAUCCCGCCGGAGAUCACUGUUAUCAGGUUUCGAUUUAGCCAUGCGAGGUGAGAGGGUUUAGACCCUCGCCGAACUGCUCAGUAACACGUAGUUAACUUACUCUUAGGUGGGGCAUAAACUCGAGAAAUUGAGGCUAAUACCCCAUAACUGUUUAUAGCUGGAAUGCUUUAACAGUAAAAGUUCCGACGCCUAAGAAUAGGACUGCGGCGUAUCAGGCUGUUGUGAGUGUAAAAUACUCACAAACCUAUAACGCGUAGAGGCCAUGAGAGUGGGAGCCUCGAGAUGCCUUCUGAGACAUGAAGGCAGGUCCUACGGGACGCAGCAGGCGCGAAAACUUUCCAAUUCAUUAACGUGUGAGAAGGGAAGCCUGAGUGCUUAUGCAUUGCAUAAGCUUUUCUUUAGCUUAAAUCGCUAAAGGAAUAAGUGGUGGGUAAGACAGGUGCCAGCCGCCGCGGUAAUACCUGCGCCACGAAUGGUGAUCACGAUUAUUGGGUCUAGAGCGUCCGUAGCCGGUUUAGCAAGUUCCUGGUGAAAUCUAACAGUAAACUGUUAGGCAUGCUGGGAAUACUAUUAAACUUGAGAUCGGGAGAGGUCGGAGGUAGUCCAUGGGUAGGGGUUAAAUCCUUUAAUCCAUGGAGGACCACCGGUGGCGAAGGCGUCCGACUGGAACGAGUCUGACGGUGAGGGACGAAAGCGUGGGGAGCAAAGCGGAUUAGAUAUAAAAAUGAGGAAACAUUAAAAGCACAGAAACCUUAAUGUGACUAUGUUAGAAUUCCGGGUAAAACAGUUUUUGAAGAAAAAUCAAGAUAUUAAAAAAAUUGAUAAACUGUUUACUUGUCGAGCAUCACCAUAUCAAAUUAAGAUUCCUAUAAAUAUUUCAACAGAUCUUUGUAGAUUAUUAGGAAUAAUACAUGGUGAUGGAAAUCUUUCAUCAAAGAGAAUACAUAUUACAGACAAAUGUAAAGAAUAUCAUACCAAGGAAUUAAAACCUUUGUUUGAGAAAUUAUUUGGAAUAAAGUUAAAUCUCUAUCAUGAUGUAAAUAGGAAUUCAUACUAUAGUCAUAUCAAAAGUAGUAUCUUAUAUAGAUAUUUUAUAGAUGUUUUGGAAUUACCAAAAGGUGCAGUUAGACAAAAUUUGAUUUUGCCAAGUUUUAUGCAAAAAUUAGAAAAUAAAUUUAUUGCAUCUUAUAUUGGAGGAGUAUAUGAUGCUGAAUCAAAUAUAAGCAAGAGGCAAGCUCAAAUUAGUUUUUCAACAACUACAAAGCAAAUAUUUGAUUUGGUUAAAAAUUUUUUAAUCAUAAAUAAUAUAAAAUAUAGUAUCUAUAUAAGAUCUCGAAGAAUUAAUAAAGAAUAUGAAAUUUACAUUUAUGGAAAAGAAAAUAUUAGGAAUUUUUUAAGAUAUAUUAAAAUAUCACACCCAGAAAAAAUUAAGCUUUUGAAAAGGUUUCUUCAUUUUUACUAGAUACCCGUGUAGUCCACGCUGUAAACGAUGUCCGCUUGAUGUCACAAAUCUUACGUGGAUUUGUGGUGUCGGAGCGUAGGUGUUAAGCGGACCACCUGGGGACUACGACCGCAAGGUUGAAACUUAAGGGAAUUGGCGGGGGAACACACAAGAGGUGGAGACUGCGGUUCAAUUGGAGUCGACGCCGAGAAAAGAAAGCAACUAUUAUAAAUAUCAAACUUGGUAAAUAAUACCGGGAUUGAUAUGGGUGUUUAUCAAAAGUGUUUAAAAAACAAAGAACUUGCAGCAAAUGUUCUUUUAUCUUUGAUUGAAUUUGAAUUUAGUUUGGUAAGUGACGAUACGCCAACUUUGCUUCAAUCACAUGUCAAUAAAGAACAAUUAAUUGCUGUAUUCAGAAUCUGUAAAUCUCAUAAAUGGACAAAAUUUAAGAAAUUGAAACUUAAAGGCGAAAAUUUUUAUUUUCGUUUGACUAUUGAUGGAUUAAAAGAAAUAUAUGAGAUAGCUGGUCCAUUUGUUAGUAAAAAAAGAAAUAUGUGGACUAAAUUAAUUACAGAAAGGGCAGGAAAGAAAGGAGGAUAUAUGAAAGAAAUGCCUUCGACUGAAAAAAGAAUCAUCGAUCUACUGCAAACGAAUCAUGACUGGUGGACAGUAGAAGGUGUAUGUUUAAACUUAAGAUUAACACCAAGUACAAUAAGAAAAUCAUUUAGAAAAAUAGAUAAUAGUUUUAUAGAAAGGAAAAAAAUCGGAAGAUCGGUUUUGUGGAAAUUAAAAUAAUAGGUGUUUUCUCUCGAAUCUCACCAGGGUUGACAGUAGGAUGAAGGUCAAGCUAAUGGUCUUACCAGACAAGCUGAGAGGUGUUGCAUGGCCAUCGUCAGCUCGUACCUUGAGGCGUGCCGUUAAGUCGGUUAACGAGCGAGACCCACGCUAUCAUUUGCUACCAUAUUUUAUCUUGGAGUAAUCCAAAAUGUAAAUUAUGAGCACUAUGUUAGGACCGCCACUGAUAAAGUGGAGGAAGGAGUGGGCAACGAUAGGUCCGUAUGGCCCGGAUACCCUGGGCUACACGCGGUCUACAAUGGUUAGGACAAUGCGAUGCAACUCCGAAAGGAGAAGCUAAUCGCCUAAACCUAAUCUUAGUCCGGAUUGAGGAUUGUAAUUCAUUCUCAUGAAGCUGAAAUCUCUAGUAAGCGAAAGUUAAUAUCUUUCGCUGAAUAUGUCCCUGUUCUUUGCACACACUGCCUGUCAAACCAUGCGAAUGGAUUUUUGGUGAGGCUUUGCUUUAACAAAGUCGAGCCAGAGGUCUGUGAGUGGGGUUAAGUCAUAACAAAAUACUCAGUAGAAUUUUUCGA